AUGACACUAAUCCGCAAAUACGGACAUAAACUUCAUUCCUAUAUUAACCAACCCAUAUUAUCCCACAAUACCUAGGCCUGCUUCUUCAUCUCUUUUUGUGUCCUUUUCAUUCAUGCGCAAUCACAUUAAGCCCGUUAUCCGUACAUGCUUCGUAGUAGAGUGUCCUGUUAGUGAUUAUGAUCUGAGCAUGGGGUUUCUGGCACAUAAAUAUGUGUAAACCCUUUUAUUGGACCCAACUGUAUUUGUGGGGGAUCGGAUCGUAAUUCGCCCUACCGAGUUCAGUGCCAGAUACCUCUGAACCAACUAACAGUGGGUAAGUUUUUCUUUUUCUUUUUUCUUUUUCUUUUUUCUAGCAAAUUUUUACAAUUCUUUGGUUUAAA
rnacentral:lncRNA from 1 species